AUUGAACGCUGGCGGCAUGCCUUACACAUGCAAGUCGAACGGCAGCACGGGAGCAAUCCUGGCGGCGAGUGGCGAACGGGUGAGUAAUAUAUCGGAACGUGCCCAGUAGUGGGGGAUAACUGCUCGAAAGAGCAGCUAAUACCGCAUACGACCUGAGGGUGAAAGGGGGGGAUCGCAAGACCUCUCGCUAUUGGAGCGGCCGAUAUCAGAUUAGCUAGUUGGUGGGGUAAAGGCCUACCAAGGCAACGACCUGUAGUUGGUCUGAGAGGACGACCAGCCACACUGGGACUGAGACACGGCCCAGACUCCUACGGGAGGCAGCAGUGGGGAAUUUUGGACAAUGGGCGCAAGCCUGAUCCAGCAAUGCCGCGUGCAGGAAGAAGGCCUUCGGGUUGUAAACUGCUUUUGUCAGGGAAGAAAUCCUCUAGGUUAAUACCCUUGGGGGGAUGACGGUACCUGAAGAAUAAGCACCGGCUAACUACGUGCCAGCCGCCGCGGUAAGAC
rnacentral:rRNA from 1 species